rnacentral:rRNA from 1 species
ACGGAAGGCAGCAGUGGGGAAUAUUGGGCAAUGGGGGAAACCCUGACCCAGCAACGCCGCGUGAAGGAAGAAGGCCUUCGGGUUGUGAACUUCUUUUACCAGGGACGAUAAUGACGGUACCUGGAGAAAAAGCAACGGCUAACUACGUGCCAGCAGCCGCGGUAAUACGUAGGUUGCAAGCGUUGUCCGGAUUUACUGGGUGUAAAGGGCGUGUAGGCGGAGCUGCAAGUCAGAUGUGAAAUCCCGGGGCUCAACCCCGGAACUGCAUUUGAAACUGUAGCCCUUGAGUAUCGGAGAGGCAAGCGGAAUUCCUAGUGUAGCGGUGAAAUGCGUAGAUAUUAGGAGGGACACCAGUGGCGAAGGCGGCUUGCUGGACGACAACUGACGCUGAGGCGCGAAAGCGUGGGGAGCAAACAGGAUUAGAUACCCUGGUA